rnacentral:lncRNA from 1 species
GUUUGAAGCAAAUUCUAUAUAUCAUAUCAUUUCACUGGUGAAUGUCUAUGUGUAUUUAUAAAAAUAGAAAUGCUUAAGGAAAGAGUUAUAUAUUUAUGUAUUUCUUAAGGAAUUAUGUCACUUAAAAAUUUAACAAUAAUUUAUUUGUAUCACUUAACAUCUAGUAUGGUUCACAUUCCUAACUGCUUUACACUGGUAAAAUAAUUCACUGCUUAAGAAUUAGAAAAUAAAAAUAAAGAACAAAUGAAACCCCAAAUCAAGAGAAGGAAAGAAAUAUAAAAAAGGGAAAUAAAAUGAAGAAUUAAAAAAUAUAAAAUAUCAAUGAAAUACUUUUUUAAAAAAGAUGAAUUUGACAAGAUUUAGCCAGGUUACCCAAGGGAAAAAUAAAGAAAGAGAAUUCAAAUAAAUAAACAAAGAGAUGAAUAAGGAGACAUUAUAAUGGAUACCAAAAACUAUAAGGAUCAUUAGAAACUUUUAUUAUGAACAAUUAUAUGAGAACAGGUUGAAAAAUCUAGAAACGGAUAAAAUUCUGCAUAGCACAGGAAAACAAUUAAUAGGGUAAAGAGGCAGCCUACAGAAUGGGAGAAAAUCUUUACUAGCUAUUCAUCUGACAAAGGAUUAUGACUGUGGUCAUAUAUUUUACCUACCAACAUAGUACCCCUAGUUUCAUUCCCCUGACUAUCUCAUCUUGAAUUUCCGCUCAUCUGUGCCUGUGGUCAUUUGUUUUUAAUG